CAAAAACAUCGCCUCUUGCAAAAUUAAUGAAUAAGAGGUCCCGCCUGCCCUGUGACUAUAUGUUUAACGGCCGCGGUAUUCUGACCGUGCGAAGGUAGCGCAAUCACUUGUCUCUUAAAUGGAGACCUGUAUGAAUGGCACGACGAGGGCUUGACUGUCUCCUUUUUCAGGUCAAUGAAAUUGAUCCUCCCGUGCAGAAGCGGGGAUAACUACAUAAGACGAGAAGACCCUAUGGAGCUUUAGACACCAAAGCAGAUCAUGUUAAACACCCCAGAACAAAGGGCCAAACCAAAUGAGCCCUGCCCGAAUGUCUUUGGUUGGGGCGACCAUGGGGAAUACAAAACCCCCACGCGGAAUAAGAGUACUCCUCUUACAGUCAAGAGCUCCCACUCUAACAAACAGAAUUUCUGACCAAUAAUGAUCCGGCUAAAGCCGAUCAACGGACCGAGUUACCCUAGGGAUAACAGCGCAAUCCUCUUUAAGAGCCCAUAUCGACAAGGGGGUUUACGACCUCGAUGUUGGAUCAGGACAUCCUAAUGGUGCAGCCGCUAUUAAGGGUUCGUUUGUUCAACGAUUAAAGUCCUACGUGAUCUG
rnacentral:rRNA from 1 species